rnacentral:rRNA from 1 species
CAGUCGCCGCGGGAAAACGUAGGUGGCAAGCGUUGUCCGGAAUUAUUGGGCGUAAAGGGCUCGCAGGCGGUUUCUUAAGUCUGAUGUGAAAGCCCCCGGCUCAACCGGGGAGGGUCACUGGAAACUGGGAAACUUGAGUGCAGAAGAGGAGAGUGGAAUUCCACGUGUAGCGGUGAAAUGCGUAGAGAUGUGGAGGAACACCAGUGGCGAAGGCGACUCUCUGGUCUGUAACUGACGCUGAGGAGCGAAAGCGUGGGGAGCGAACAGGAUUAGAUACCCGUGUAGUCCCUGUCUCUUAUAC